GUUCCCAGGCCACAGACUGAACCUGUGCCACAGCAGCAACCUGAGCCACUGUAGUGACGACACCAGAUACUGAGCCUGCUGAGCCACAUGGUAACUCCAAAAAUUCCAACUUUUAUGAGUUGGUUGUCUCCAUCUGUGUCAUCUAAAGAACAGUUAAAUGAAUAUUCUUCUCAGGAGGAAAACAGUAGCUACUGUUUGUUUCUUAUUAUCACUCCUUGUCAGGGACACGUGCCCCUUGGUGGGAAGUAGACUCCUUUUUUUCCUUCCCCUGAUUUUUAGGGCUGUACCCGUGGCAUAUGGAAAUUCUCAGGCUAGGGAUCGAAUUGGAGCUGCAGCUUUCGGCCUACACCAGAACUCGGGAUCCAAGCCGCAUCUUCGACCUGCACCACAGUUCAGGGCAAUGCUGGAUCCUUAACCCACUGAAUGAGGCCAGGGAUCAAAUACCCGUGUCCUCAUGGAGACUAGUCCUCGGGAAGUAGACUCUUAAAUGUGUCCCCUAACUGGAGAAAACUGCCUGAGUCAGUCAAAACUUAAGUACAAACACACCACCGUCAGAGUUCGCUCACCUCUGCUGCAGAAAUGCGACACUCUGCUAAGAGGUACAACGGGUGGGGAGAUGGCAACUUGGGAAAGAACCCCAAAUUUAUAGCUCUCCUAGAAGAGAAGAGCUUGAAAUGGUGCCCAAUUCUCGAGCUUGUCUUACAGGACAGCAGCUAAGGGAACAGCUUGGUACACAACCCCUCUGCCUGUAGCCUGCCUUCACGGACCAAGCUUGCCUUUAUCAUUGUUUUUUUCAAAUUACAUACCCUCCAAGUUUCAUGAGGCUUAGAUAAUAUACCGCAAGACGCCUCAACUACCCCUAUGAACACCUCUGAUUUAUGAGUUGCUAUAGUAACAGGGGCUUAAGCUGUUUUUCAGAAACAUAAGAGUCGGCUCUUGUCCAGUUCAAGCUGGCUAAGACUGUUCGGGUCCACUGAUCCUAAAACUAGGUCCGUGCAGGUGAUGACUGACCCUUUGACAUCAGAGGCCAAAAACUCCCCCAAAUCAUGCCAAGUGUCUCCACUUUUGAAACCCAUCCCAUGAAGCAGCAUGUCACUCAGAUACGCCUGUGCGGAACACGGGUGACUUCACCUCUUCCUACGUCAAUCACCUUUCCCCGCACCUGCCCAACCUGCUUCUUUAUCCCAUAAAAAUCUCAAGCCCCUCACCUUCGGGUGGGGGAUCUAAGAGGCAUUCUCCCACCUCGUCCCUUGGCUGCCUUGUGAAUAAACUCUCUGCUGCAAACCUCAGUGUCUCAGCAUUCAGUUUGCUGUGGGCCAGGAGCAAGACUCUGGUUUGGUGACAAGCUGUUAAUGAAAAGCUGGAAGUAAUUUGUCACCUAUUGUUCCAGGGAUCUCGACAGGGACAAGAGACAUUAUCAGGAGUGUAAUUUUGUUCAACACCCCAAAGUUUCUAACUGGAGCUGUCCAACAGGGCAAUUGAUUAAGCAGUGCAUUUUUUUUUUUUUAAAUGCAGUGCAUCGGAGUUCCCGUCGUGGCUCAGUGGUUAGCAAACACAACUAGAAUCUGUGAGGACGCAGGUUCGAUCUCUGGCCUUGCUCAGUGGGUUAUGGAUCUGGUGUUGCUGUGAGCUGUGAUUCUUAACCCACUGAGCCAGGCCAGGGAUCCAACCCACAACCUCAUGGUUCCUAGUAGGAUUCGUUUCCACUGAGCCAUGAUGGGAACUCCAAGGCUCAUAGCGUUUAAAAAAAAACAUAUAGAAUGUCACACUUGGUUGUGAUUAUAUUUAACUGGAAAUGUCAAGUAUCAUUAAAGGAAAAUAUCUGAUUUGUGAACUUAAACAAAGGAGCAGUAUCUACUGUUCCUUCCAAAUCAACGUUUUGAUUCCUCAGGCGACUUUCCAGUCCCCGGCAGGUCCAGUUGCACCACAGGACAUCACAUUCUCUAAGGAGCUAGGCAGUCAUAAUGCCCUAGGGGCUUCGUGUUAGCCUUGGCCCUGCCCGUCCACGUGCUCCGUGCUUUAUCUAGCCCUGCUUCUUUCUGCACAGCCCAGUCUUUCCACCAGGAACGCACCUCUCUUGCGAUCGGUGUCUUUCUUUCACCCCAAUUUGCUCAACGCUCCCACCUUCCCCCAAGAACUGUAGUAUGUUCCGAUCCUACGAUUCUCUGUGGUUCUCCGGCCAUCGAAACACCUCCAACCCUCGCUUUAAGCGGCGUGCUUGGUGGCCCCGCGUAAGCUCCCAACCGGCUGACUCACGGACAUCGGACCCUAGGGUCCGCCCCCCGUGCUCGUCCCCGACACGCACCCAGGCGGAAGGGACCCCACUCCGCGGGGAGGCUCGGGUGUUGGCUGGAGCUGGGCAAGGGCCAGCGGGGGGCGCUUUCCCACAUCCGGGGCUGGCGCGGUCAUUACUGGUUUACUGGCUACAGAGUGGGCAGCGGGGUCAGGAGGGCGGUGAGGCCGGCAGAGGACCAUGGCAAA
rnacentral:lncRNA from 1 species